CCUUAUGUAGAGGUCCUGGAGUUGUGCCGUGCGCGCUCUUCGCUGGCGGUCCACCCCGCGGUGCCUCUCCCCCUGGGAGCCUGUCAUCUCCGGCCGACAGCAGCAAGGUCCAUGAGCUCGACGUGCUCGCUGCCCGCGGGCCUGCCCCACCCCGGCAGGAUGGUGUACGACGAGGCGCCCGGCUCCUGGCAGCUGGAGCCCCAGCUCGCGGUGAAGAAGGAGGUGUGCGAGGAGGCGGCGGGCCGCGCCGUCUCGGCCGAGGUGCCCUCGCCGACCCGGG